GGAGAAAUGAAUAGAAUUUAUAAUAUUCAAUACAAACACAACAAAACCAGCAAAAGAACAGAUAUUGUUAGGAGGAAAAAUUAAGUCAACAUAAUCCAAGGAAAAAUAUGAGUUUCCAAAAUCUAAUGCCUAAAUGUAACUACAAGUAACAUCCAACAAGGCAACAACUAGUUAGAUUUCACCAGUCAGAAAUAAAAGAAAGGAAUGAAAAAGACUUCUUCUCCCCUUUUUUUUUUUUUUUU
rnacentral:misc_RNA from 1 species